rnacentral:pre_miRNA from 2 species
AGAGAAAAGUUAAAGUCUUUGGUUCCUGUCCUCAUCAAACACUUCAACCUUUCUCCUCU